CCAAGGCCAUUCUGCCCCUGAAGUCGGGGGUGAGGGAAGGGGCCGGUCCCUCCUGCCGCCUAACAGGGUCCUGGGAGUCCUCUCCUCGCCUUCAGGAACUGACGGCGUUUACCCGACACACCACCUGCCUGCCCCUCAGUCUCGUGCCACCCCAUGUCCCCUGGGGAGCUCUUCAGGCACCCUGCCACCACAUCACAGCAGCCACACCAAGGGCAGGCGCCACCCGCGCCAGUCACUAAAAUAGCAGAGGAAACGCGGCACCAGGAGGGAGGAAAGGAAGUCCCCACUGGUAGCACCGACCCGGAGCCCGGGAGGCUGUGUCCCUGUGCGCCUUGUCAGGCAGACGCGUCCUCUGUCCCCAAGACCACACACACUCUGCCUUGGGCAGUGGUGACCGUCUCCAGUGCCAUCUGUUUGGGGAUGCCACCUUUCUCAUGGCCUGCCGUUGUCCUCCACCCACGUCCUCUGGAUGGCCGGUGUGCGUGCCAUCCGUGGCCUUCAUGAGCAGUGACCGCCCAUUCCUGGUCCUUCUGCAGCCUGCGGAGCCUCCGUCCACCACCAGGGGACCCGACGGCUCUCCACGCCGGGCUCUCCUCCUGCUGACCCAUCAGUGCGGGGGGUGACCUGAGGUGGAGCCACACAGAGGAACCCAGAUCCCGUCGUCCUUCUUCAAGACCCGUCCCCAGGCGUCCAGAGUGACGUGGGCGUUCCCGCGAUGGCUCUGCCGUUCUUCCCGAGAGGCCCGGGAGCCUCGGGGCGCGGGGGGAGCCUCUGAAUUCGGUCAGAGUGUGCGUGGAGAAGCAGCCAGAACAGAGGGGUUGCCGUGAAGUGGGUGAGCAGCCACGGAGGCCAACGGAGACGAUUCUAUGCCACUUAGCCUUGUCCCCUCUGCUCCGGGUCCCGGGGUUAGGAGCUGGGAGACGCGGCCCCCGGGGUUUGUAAGUGCCUCUCUGGGGCGGGAAGCGGGUCUGGACCUCCGGUCCUCCUGCUGGCCUUCCACUUUUGGCUGGUUACAGGACUGGCUUCCUUUCUGUCUCCCUCCUCCCCCUCGGCCUCUGAGUCCCUGGACCUAGAGGACUCCUUGGGUGGCCCACCCCUGAGGGUCCCAGUUUCCACCAUCACCAACCUCCUAAUGGGUGCCCCUCAGCAGAGGCCCGCCAGGAUCCGUCGACGUCUGUCUGCGGGUCCCACGUGCGGAGACGGCUCGCCCUUGCGCAUCCGAAGGGACCCACCAUCCGUGCAGGGACCUGCCAUCAACCCUGAGCCCGUUCCUCCUCCUGGCCGGCAGCCACCAAGAAGGUGGGACCCCUCACGGGAUCGGGGAAGACCCAACCCUCUGUGUGGAACCUUCCAGAUUCUUCUUUGAGCAGAAAACCAUCUCUGUUGAUUUACUGGGCUGGGGUUAGUGUUUCUGCUACGUGAAGCUCAACACGCUCCACACAGGGAUGAAGCCUCACACCCUGAAGUCACCGUCACAGAAGACUCUCUCUGUUGAACGUCAGCUUGCUGGGACCUGUCAGGUCAGGAGAGAGGUCAUUCAUGGGCCUGAAGGUAAGGUCCAACAAUUGAUUUCGUGUCUUGCUCAUGAUCACAGUAUGGGGAAGUGGCACGUACACCCGGGGCUUCACACCACGGCCACUCUGGCUUUGUCCCACCCGUCCUGUCCACUAUCCUGUCUUCCGUCCUACCGAGAAACCAAGCACAAAACCACCCAGGUGUAGCGGCUUCUUUGGGUCUUCAUUUUCCCAGGAAAGCUCCUGUGUCAUCACACCUCCUACUAAAUAUGCUGCGUGCUAUUCUCUUGUUAACCCCCGACCCCUGACCGAGUUACAGAUGAGGAAACAGGCUCAGAGAGGGGAAGUAACCUGCCUGAGAACACACAGCCAGAAGCAGCAGAGCUGGGAUUUGGACCCAGGUCCACCUGGCUCGUCUGCUCCACUUCAGCCUCCCUACAGGACCUGGAUGUGGACGGAACCAGCCUACGUGGAAUGUUCCGCACAGCACCCAGCAAGCACCACGUGAUCCAUAAACGCACGAUGCUCUUCCUCGCUUGCUUUCCUCGAGUUUCUCUCUGAGCAGAGAUCGUAACCCCCAGCAGGUGCCCGUGGAGGACGGCACCCGGUGCCACCAGCCAGGACCCUGGAGCCUGCAGGCCCUGGAGAUCUCCAGCGCAUGCUCUCGGAGCCCGUCUCCCGCGUGGGGCUCCCGGCGGGGCGUGUCCUGCCCCCCGCCCGCCCCCCGCCCACCCGCAGCAGCCUUACAGGGCCCUUUAGUUCUCCCCCUUUGCCACUCGGCUGUGAUUUGCAGGUGAGUGGCCCUGUGGACACAGGGCUGUGACCACUGCUCAGGGAAAGGAAGGGACACAUCCCAGUGGAGGUGACGUUUGACAAGUGGCUAGCCUGUCCACAGGAGGGGGGUGAGGACAGAAAGGAAGGGCCAGUGGACACAGGAGACCCCCGAGCAACUUGAAGCCUGGGGGUGCUCUCGGCGGGACUGAAGGAGAGGGGGAUGGGAGGCGGGCCACACUGCGGGGGACCCCGACACCUGCCAGGGGCCAGAGGACAGGGUGCAGCUGCAGGCAGCUCACAGCCUGUGAGGUCCUCAGAUAGGGGUCAGGAAGGCGGGGAGGCUGGGCGGGGGUCAGGGCUCAUGCCCUGGGUGGGAAGAGAGCGCAGGCCGCCUGUAAGCUCCCGCCCCCAGAACUCUGACAGUCCUUGUCCUGAGGAGCCGAGGCUCUAGGUACCCAGGUUAAGCGAUUCCACCAGUUUAACGGUUGAGUGUCUCCCUCGCCCCCUGUUUUUUGAUAAGAGGAUUGACCUCGGGGGCACUCGACCACUGAGCCCCAUCCCCAGUCCUAUUUUGUACUUAGAGACGGGGCCUCACUGGGCUUGACCGGGUUUUCUUCUGCAGGACUGGACACCCCAGGUCCCCCUCAGGUGAACUUUACUGGGGUCCGAGUCCCUGCAGCCCUUUCCUCCUGAGCUUCUCAAAGCCUAAGCGGUGGCAAGCUCACGAGCCCGCGAUCCGCGCGUGCCGAGGGGCCUGGUGGCUCGGAGCCUGUCAUUUGGAGAGUCUGUGAUCAAUUUCAGGAAAGGUGGCGGGCGGAAGGCAGGGGCAGGCCUGGGGGCACGCACCAGAGCCCUCCCUGCCCCCACCCGUGCCCACUCCCCGCAGGCUGGUACCAACGAGGAGCGAGUUCAGGGAUGACGGGCUGCUGAUUGGCUGCAAGAGAGGAUGCGCUGGGUGGGGGCUGGGGCGUUGUGGGCCUGUUCCAGGGCUGGGACGGCAAAGGCAAGGGAACAGCGGCACAUUCACAGAGCAUGUCACACAAGGUGGCAGAUGGAAGAUGGAGCGUUUCAGUUCGUGUUUGAAACUGGACCAUGUUGACGCAGUCCCCUGGCUGCUGUGUGGUCACAAUGACAUAAAAACAGGGGUCGGCUGGCUUGUUCUAGAAAUGGCCAGAUGGUUAAGAAACGUCGGCCUUGUGGACCAAGCUACCUGGUCACCUUUAGGGCAGAUACAGAGGCGUUGCACAGGAGCACGAAGCUUGGCGCCUAAUUGGAUGACAAAGUAACGCACCCCUUAUCGCGCCUUAAAGCCGUGCCAUUUGGCCAUGGAUGGGUAAACAAAGUGUGUGUGCAGACUAGAAAACUCUUUAGCCUUUCGAAGGAAGGGAAUCUUGCUACAAUGUGAAUGAACCCCGAGGACACUUGUGCUACGAGAAAUAGUCACAAAUAGACCAAUGGCGCUACAUGGGGAGCCCGGAGCAGUCAAGUUCAAGAAUGGCGGUGACGGGGAGAAGGGGGUGGUAGAAGUUGAAGGGCCCAGAUAGAUUUUUUUUUUUUGCCAGAUAGAUGGAUGGACCGUGGCCGUGGGUGCACGGCAUCGAACCUGGUGCCACUGAACUGCACACUUGACAAUGGUGACCAUGGAACAUUCGUUACCUGUAUUUUAUCACAGUUUUUAACAAAGCACGUUCCUUGCUGUGACAUGAUGGCUGUGCACUGGUAAGAAACCAAGAGGCUGCCCAAGGGGGACACGCCUGUGUCAACUCCUAGCUGUGCCACGGUGGCCUGCAGUGAGCUGAGCAGUCACACAAAGCCACGGCAGCCCGCGUCUGGGU